UGGGGAAUAUUGGACAAUGGGGGCAACCCUGAUCCAGCCAUGCCGCGUGUGUGAAGAAGGCCUUUUGGUUGUAAAGCACUUUAAGCAGGGAGGAGAGGCUAAUGGUUAAUACCCAUUAGAUUAGACGUUACCUGCAGAAUAAGCACCGGCUAACUCUGUGCCAGCAGCCGCGGUAAUACAGAGGGUGCGAGCGUUAAUCGGAAUUACUGGGCGUAAAGCGAGUGUAGGUGGCUCAUUAAGUCACAUGUGAAAUCCCCGGGCUUAACCUGGGAACUGCAUGUGGUACUGGUGGUGCUAGAAUAUGUGAGAGGGAAGUAGAAUUCCAGGUGUAGCGGUGAAAUGCGUAGAGAUCUGGAGGAAUACCGAUGGCGAAGGCAGCUUCCUGGCAUAAUAUUGACGCUGGGAUUCGAAAAGCGUGGGUAGCAAACAGGAUUAGAUACCCUGGUAGUCCACGCCGUAAAACGAUGUCUACUAAGCCGUUGGGGUCCUUGAGACUUUAGUGGCGCAGUU
rnacentral:rRNA from 1 species